AUGGAGACACGAGGGCCCAGACAGCAGCCACACUGUGCAGCCUGGCUCUCCAGGGAGACUGCUGAUGAGCACAUGCAGACACGGGUGCUGUCUCACGGUGUGGCUGGGAGGUGGGGCGGGGGCUUCAGGGCCCCAUGCGGAGCAGACAGCAGCCUGGGGCAGAGGCCCAGGCUCCCCCCAUCGCAGCUGCAGGUGGGGGGCUCAGGGGUGGGGCAGGCCCUCUCUCAGAGGUUUUUGUAUGAGGCUGUGUCACAGUGUUGGGUAUUCGGCGGAGGGACCCAUCUGACCGUCCUCGGUCAGCCCAAGGCCGCACCCUCGGUCGCUCUGUUCCCGCCCUCCACUGACGAGCUCAGCAACGACAAGGCCACGCUGGUGUGCCUCAUCAGUGACUUCUACCCCGGCGUCGUGACGGUGGCCUGGAAGAAAAAUGGCAGCCCCGUCACCCAGGGCGUGGAGACCACCAAGCCCUCCAAACAGAGCAACAACAAGUACGCGGCCAGCAGCUACCUGAGCGUGUCGCCCAGCACGUGGAAGUCAGCCAGCAGCUACAGCUGCCACGUCACGCACGAAGGCAGCACCGUGGAGAAGUCCGUGACCCCCUCGGAGUGUUCCUAGGACCUGAGCCCCAUGUUCGGGGCCGCUCUCCCACAAGAUC